CCGAGGAGCAUGCCUGUUUGAGUGUCAUGG
rnacentral:rRNA from 1 species